CAGAUCGAAACGGGAGAACCGGCAACAGCCGGUGCCGAAGGAGCAACCGCCCCGGAAACUCUCAGGCCGCAGGGACCGUUUUGCAUCU
rnacentral:ncRNA from 2 species